GUCCAGUGGUUAGGACUCUGCACUUCUACUGCAGGGGACACAGGUUCCAUCCCUGGU
rnacentral:tRNA from 1 species